rnacentral:lncRNA from 1 species
UUUUAAUAAGAUUCUAUCUAUAAGUAUGAUAUUUAGAAUCACCAGAUUAAUGGAAAUUUGGUAUUAUUGCCUAUCAUGUUUAUCAGUCUGUCAUAACAUAUUUUGUCAGAAAUAAACAAAAAGCAAACGAGAAACACUGCCUGAGACAAGAUUCACAAAGUAUCAGUACCCACUUUCCUAUAAAGUUUUUCUCUCUGUUCUUAGUGAAAACAAUUGCUUGAUGUAAUUGAUAGCCAUAAAACAAUUUCGGUCUUGAACACUUGUGUGAUAAAUAGCUUAUUUAUUAUGGGAUUUUUUUCUAUUAGGAAAUAUGGAAGAGGACAGUAUAAUAUCAAGAACACUAAGAUACCUAAUUAAAAUCUGAUUAUGAAACCUUUUGGCUUAUUCAUGAUUAUCUCAACCUUCAUGUUUAUCUCUAGGACAAAUCUGCAGUAUGUAAAAAGAGAAAAAAGUGUGUUACACUUAUUUAUAGCCAAACUUAAACGUUAAAAUACCACAUUUUCUUUUCUGGUCAAGUUUCAUGUUUUAUAGUUCUUUCUUGCCAUUAACAUUAAAAUAUGUAAAUGGAAUACUUUUGCAUCCUGAAGCCUGGAAAAAGGUUUUUGCUUCACACUAGUUAAUCAGACUGCUGCUGUAGUCACAGGAGAAGGAACCGAGAUGACCACUAUAUACAGCACAGUUGAAACUGGAGGACAAAUAAUUACCCCUGUUUUUUUUUUUUUAAGUAUAUUACUACUACCAGCUAUUCUCUUUUUAAAAAAGAUUUAUUUAUUUGAGAGAGUGUAGGAAUUGCCGAGGGAGAGCAAGAGGGAGAAAGUGAAUCUCAAGCAGACUCCUUGCUGAGUGUGGGGCCAGGAUCUCAGACCUAAGAUCAUGACCUGAACCUAAAUCAAGAGUCAGUUGCUCAACCAACUAAGCUGCACAGGCACUGUGGUAUUCUCUUUUAAAUAUACCCUAAGAUAUCCUUUUCCACCUAAUCUGUAGACUCAUUAGUUGAAACUUAAUGUGAAUUUUAACUUACAGCAAGAAUCAGUCUCAUAUAACUUAGUAUUUUCCAUGUUGAGUAAGUGAAAUCAAUUCCACUUGUAGAACACGUUUAUAUUAUCAACAUAAGACAACCAAGAACUUGAUUUUCAUAUUUCUCCUUCUAUAUUAAUAUUAAUUUAUUUUUUAAAAGAAAAGCCUGCCAGCCUUUAGUGAAGGAAUUUCAUUGAUAGUUAUUUUUUUAAUACCCAAAAUGAACCUUUAUUAGGUGCAUUAAUUUGAAAUUCAGGAACCUUUGAAUUGUGGCUCCUCCUUGAAGUAUUUAAACAUUUGUGAGUUUUCGAUCUUAAGCACAUUUCAUUAUGAAAUUGUGUGCCUUUCAUAGCUAGACGGUAGCAGAAAACAGAGUUUUGGUUGGUAGAAAAAUGAAAUUGACCAGCUUAAGGAGAGGAAGUAAGGUGAUGCAGUUACCCACAUUAGCCUGGUUGAUGUGCCUGCCUUGAACCAACCUACCUGACCAACCUUCUUAUUUGAUCUUUUUUUUGUCUUUUUUUUUCCUCUUUGCUCUUCCACUUCACUGUUAACUCUUUCCUUUGCUCUUCUGCUAUUUCCUAUCCUCCACUUUCUUCCUUAUUUGAGACAAGAGCUUUUUUCUUUGUUGUAUACUCAACCUAUACACUUUAAAAAAUAAAAAUACAUGUCAAAAAAACUUUAACAAACUGACUUUCAUUUUUAAAGUAGAUAAUUGAGAGUUUUAUAAUUGUAGAAAACCAGAGAAACAAUUUCCAAUUGGAUGGGAUAUUAAAGAUCUAGUUCAAAUACCAAGAAAUUUAGAGGCACUUGGGUGGAUCUGUUGAAUAAGAACCUGACUCUUGGUUUCAGCUCAGGUCAUGAUCUUAGGGUCCUGGGAUUGAGCCCCACAUCAGGCUCCACACUUAGUGGGGAGUCUGCUUAAGGAUUCUCUCUCUCCCUUCUCCCUCAGUGCCUCCCUCCCCACUCAUGUGCAUGCAUGUGUGCUCUCUUGCUCUCUAAAAUAAAUAAUCUUUUUUGGGGGGAUGCCUGGGUGACUCAGCGUUGUUGAGCAUCUGCCUUUGGCUCAGGGCAUGAUCCUGGAGUCCUGGGAUCGAAUCCCACAUCGGGCUUCCUGCAUGGAGCCUGCUUCUCCCUCUGUCUAUGUCUCUGCCUCUCUCUGUGUGUCUCUCAUGAAUAAAUAAAUUCUAAAAAUCUUUAAAAAAUAAUUUAAAAAUAAUCUUUUAAAAAAUACCAAGAAAUUUAAUGUUUAUUACAUAUUGUCAAAAUUUAUUUUUUUAUUGUUUCUCUGUUACAGUAAGAGAUUAAAGUUUUUGGUCAUGCCACUUCCUUUCCCCAUUUCCCACAAUAAUUUCAAUGCAUAUGUCAUUCAAAUAUUUUCUUCCUCCUGCUUUUCUCUCACAACUGUUUAAAUCAUCAAAAGUACAUAACACUUGAGAUGCCUAGCUGGGUCAGUCAUAGAGCCAGCUAUGAGUCGUAGAGCAUAUGACUCUUGAUCUUGAGGUUGUAAGUUCCAGCCCCAUACUGGGUGUAGAGAUUACUUAAAAAUAAAAUCUUAAAAAAAAAAAGUACCUGAAGACCAGGAGAUUUUAAGUUCAAAGGUUUUUUUCCUAAUUUCUUAUUUCUCUUUUUCAAGUUUAUUACAUUUGUAGAUUUAUUGCAAAUAUCUUAUGCAAAAGAGGAAAGUAUAGAGAGGAAUUCCACUAUCUAGAUGUAACUUAUAAUACUCUGGUUUCUUUUCAGAUCCCAUAAAUCUUUCUAGAUGUAAUCUGUUAGCUGUUUUGCUUUGUUCUCCAAUAUUUAAAACCAUUUGUUGAUCAAAUUAGCAGUAAACACGCACAUACACAGACUACAGGAGAUAUUCAGUGUUGGCGGGAGCAUAAGGAGUUAAAAGGUAAAAGGCACACAAUCUGGAGGAAAAGCAUUUACACAGAUAUGAAAGCCUUAAGUUUGAUAUCCUUCAGAUAUCAAGAUCUAAUGCAUAAUAAUCAAGAAAUCACAAAGUGUCAGCAUCCUAGUAUUGUGUAUCAGCUAUGGUUGCUGAUUGUCGAGCUCCGAGAAGGUAGAGGUAAGUGCUAGACGGUGUGGAGAGGAAGCACAUAAAAACAGGGGGAAAGUGACAACGAAGGAAGGGAAAACUGUGGGUAUGUGGUCUUUGGAGACCAUUUAGUGCGGAGCAGAUAGUCACCCACUCAGCUUUUGUGUAAGUAUUGCAUUAUAUGAUAAUCAAUGUUUCUAAUGACUCUGAGUCUGCAAGAUGUAGGGUUCCUGUGCAAUUAUGUGCAAAUAAGGUUUUUUUGUAAAAAUGUAUAAAAAUAUUUUGGUGCAAGAACACUAGAUAGGCAACUUCUUUCCUUGAUUUCCUGGAUAAAUGAGGUGUCAUCUUCAGGCAAUAGUUGAAAAUACCCUAUAAUAUCCACAUACAUUUGCUAUGAGUCCUCUCUGUAGUCAGACUUUUUAAGAUUGCUGGAAAAUAUAUAAUUUCUGUUCACUGAAACAAUAGAAUAAAGAAAAUGUACUUGUGUACUUUGUGGUGGAUGGCCAGUUAAUGUCAUUUGAAGCAUAAGAUAUGUUUAUCACUGAAAGCUGAAAUUAGCCCCAGAACUAGUGGGCUGUGUUUGACACUUUAAAGAUAUAAACUCAAUGAGGAACAUAAUUAGGGAUAACAGGCUUUUAUGCUUGACGGGGGUAGGCGGCACACUUACUUAACAUACUUUGCCUAAUAUUACUGUCUUGACAGACUCUCCAAAUAGCAUUCCCCCCCGCCCCCAUGGCAACAUGUGCCCCUGUAUGUCUGGUACUUAAUAUGAACAAGAUUUUUUUUUUUUUUAUGGUUGAAUGCAGUUAAAUGAUGAGACUCUGGUGGUACGGUGAAAGUGACAUAUGCUUUGUACGUAACAAGUAUGAAUAUUAUAACUUAUCUGAAACAGUUCAUUUACACCUCAGUCAAAAAAAAAAUCUAAAUUUUUAUUAGCUGGGAGUUCACCGUCUUGAGCUUCCUCACAAUUCAGUGCAGUGUUGUGAUGAAUACUUUCUCUGAGUGCCUUGUUUUAAAAUUUUGUGUUUGUAAUAUCCUGAAAGGAGAGCUUCCAAAUUAUAUUUUCGUAUCUAGUCCCUGUAAAAUUUUAAAUUUAGCCAAAGAGAUGAAUAAGCUUUGUUACAGAAUGUUUAAUAAACAAAGCCUAAGUAAAAUGAUAGAAACACAAUAAACUUGAAAUGUUCUUU